CACCUUGCUUGUGCGGCGGCCCGGGUGACGUGACCCGGAACUGUAGCCGAGAUUCCGGUUCCGGGUGAUGAUGCUGCGACUGGUUGGCCGGCGGGUACUGAAUGUUUGCACGACAGAGGUGGCCACUGGGACUCACCUGAUCUCGCCCUGUUUCAGAGCAAAGCUUAAUGAGAUUGUUGUGAAACACAAUGGGGUGUACCUCUCCACGGCAGCGGUUGCCGCAGGUGCUGAAGAUUCACUUCUGAAGUGGGCUCUGCUCCUAAUCCCAGUCACCACCUUUGGCCUCGGAACCUGGCAGAUUCAACGUCGGAAAUGGAAACUGCAGCUUAUCAAGGAACUGAAGAAGAGAACACACUCUGACCCCCUGCCCCUUCCCCUUGAUCAGCUGGAGUUGAAGGAGCUGGAGUACAGACGGGUGAGGGUGCGAGGGAGGUUUGACCACUCCAAGGAGCUCUACAUCAUGCCCCGAUCACGGGUGGAUCCGAAUAAGGAGGCGCAAGAAGCUGGGCGUCUGAUGUCCAGCACAGAGACCGGGGCCAAUGUAGUCACACCAUUCAACUGCACAGACCUGGGGGUGAGGAUUCUUGUUAACAGGGGCUUUGUACCCAAAACGAGGAUCAAGCCAGAAACACGGAGCAAAGGACAGGUGAGAGGAUUCAAGGAAACAGGCAGAUUACAGGAGAAGUUGAGCUCGUUGGGAUUGUUCGACUCUCGGAAACUCGCAAACCGUUCACCCCUCAAAAUGACGUUAAGAAGAACUGCUGGCAUUACCGGGAUUUGGAGACAAUGGCACAAAUUGUGGGCACUGAACCGAUCCUCAUCGAUGCAGACUUAGACAGCACAGUCCCUGGAGGUCCAAUCGGUGGGCAGACAAGAGUAACCUUGAGGAAUGAACAUCUGCAGUAUAUCCUAACCUGGUAUGGGUUGUGCGCAGCAACGUCCUACAUGUGGUUCCAGAAGUUUGUACGGAAAAUCGCUGUCUAGUGACCUGUUCAGCAGCUUCUCCAUGGAAAUUAACUUCCCUGUCAUGAAUCUCUGUCUCCCCGCUGUGGGAAAUAUGAUGCUGUAAAUUCUAACAAAUAAAAGUGAUCUGUUUAUGUUCACACCCUA